rnacentral:rRNA from 1 species
CGAUGAGGUUGAUAGGUUCGAGAUGGAAGCGUGGUGACACGUGGAGUUGACGGAUACUAAUCGAUCGAGGACUUAACUAACUU